rnacentral:rRNA from 1 species
AUGGCAGUGUUUCAUAAAUUCCAUAGUCUAGCCGCGGGGGAUUUUGCUGCUAUCAACAAAGCUCUGAUCGUGCUUCUGCCUAAGAAGAACGGCGCAACCCAAGUGGGGGACUAUCGCCCAAUAAGCCUCAUCCACUCUGUGGCCAAGUUGAUCGCCAAGGUGUUAUCUGUCAGGCUGUCGAGGGUCAUAAACCAGAUCAUAUCACCUGUGCAGAGUGCUUUUCAGAAGAAGAAAGGAAUCCAUGACAGCUUCUUAUAUGUG